CUCUGCGCGGGGGACAAGGCGGGCGUCGGGCACGGGGCGGGCCCCAGCGGAGCCGGUCCCUGCCAUCUGCCCGCCGUGUCCCGCGGGGGCGGGGGAGGGGCGCCAGCACAAGCCGCCAGCCGCCAGCUGCCGGGCGGCAGGACCCGUGGCGAAGCCGCGCGACGCGCCCCGCAAGAUUUCUCCGCCCGCGAGCUAAGAAACCAGUUGCGGUCGGCCGCGUAGCCCAGGUGGCCGGCACAUUUGCGGUUGAACUCGGCCACCAGGGACCUGUACGGAUUCCGGAUCAGCAGGAUGGCCGAGUCGAACAUCUCGAUUUCCCUGCGGCCGCUCUCGUGGGUCUUCACGCAGAUGGUGCGCCGGCUCCGCCAGUGGUCCUUCUCGCCCUUGAACCCUGCGGGGGCGGGGGAGGCCCCUGAGCAAGGCGUCGGGGAUAGCCUCCCCCCCCCCCCCCCAGCAGAAGAGCUGAACCCACUUCCGUGAGACACCAGAGGCCGGGAGGCUGACCCAAGUCAGUCACAGCUGCAGGCUGGCCAGGGAAGAGACAGAGGCUCAGAGAGGGUGUGGACCUGCCUGCCAUCACACAGCAGCACGGCCGCAGAGCCAGUCACACACGUGCCGACAAAGACAACCGUGCGCUCGUCUGUGCUGGACUUUACGUUGGAGGUAAAGGGGCUCAGCUUGGGUCUGGCUAAACAGCAGCCCUGGGGCCAUGCCGAGCACGGGGGCUCAUGGGAGCACGGAGGAAGGGGCCGGUCGGGGGUGCGGAGGGACGUCACUGAAGGACUCCCAGGAAGGUGUCCCUGAACCUGCACUCCCGGCCGUGCCCCGACAGAGCCCCGGUCGGCCAGCCCGGGACACGUGCUCCUGAAACGAACACACGAUUAUCUUGGCCUCCUGGGGACCCAGGUCAGCAGGCGGGAGCCCUUGUACGUGGAGCAAACAGGCAGGGGCUCUCUGAUGCCGGGAAGCACAGGCCCCCUGUGAACGUGGGUUCACCCGCUAGAACUCAACACAUUUCAAACGCACCCCUGCCACGGGCCAGAUGCCACAGGCCUUCACUUUGGCUCGUUCUGGCGAACGGCUGGGGAGCUCCAGGGAACCCGAAGCCAGACCACGGCUGUAAACACGAGAUCUGGUCCCUGACACCCUGGGGACUGAGGUGCCUUCCCACAGCGGCCACCCUGAGCCGGCCCCGUAAGCCUCACAGGGAAGCCUCCGGGGCCAUCACACACAGCGAUUCCAGCCCCCGGGCCCCUUGGCCGUUCACAGAUGGAGACCGCCAGCUGUGUGGACAGGUACAGGUGACACUUGGGACCCGAGGACCAGAGGCCUGGUUCAGGGACCAGCUCCCCUGGCUUCUCCUACCAGAGCAGACCCACCGCCGAGCCCAGGACGUUAGGGAACCAGAGUCCAGGUGAGAAUCCCAGAGAAACUGGCGUUAGCGCCUGAUAACCCAGAAGUGCAUCUCGUGCAACUCAGACUCCGGCCACACGAGCGCGGCACCACGGCCCGGGGAGCCCCUCCCUGGCUCCCAUCUACACUCGCUGCUUGGGGCCCCUGCCUGCGGCCCCCACUCACCCUUGUUGUACAGCGUCCCGUCAAAGUAGUAGCUGCCGGUGUAGAAGCCCGUGGCAUGCUCGAUGAGGUGCCGUACCCACGUGUUCCCGGCUCCCGGGAAGCUGGACAGAGCCACGAACACCUUGGACUUGGUGGGCAGGAACCUCCGGUCCGUGCAGCGAGUGUCUGAAAGGCCAGAGCUUGACCACGGACCGCCCCGCCAGGAAGUGCUGACCCCAGACUCUCACUUCACAGACGGGGAAACUGAGGCCCGGGGAGGGGGUUGCCACCUGUGCCUCGGCCGCAGACAGCCCCAGUGAUGACGAGACCUCUGCGCACCACGGCCCCAAGAUGGGACCACCCGCCACCAGGCCAGGGAUUGUGCCCAGAUGCCCCCCCCCACCCACCGCGGCUCCGCAUGAGGCCCCGGGGCAUCUCCAGACCCGCAGGGCGCAAACGGGGGUAGAGCCUGGGGGGGGAGGAGGGGAGGGUCCUCGCGGUAGGAACUCACCCUGCACGGGCGUCUGGUAGACCUCGCAGUACUCAGCCUGCCUCGGGGCCUCGGGCCCCCGGCCACACAGCGAGCUGUCCACGGCGUCCCGAAGGCUGAACUGCGGCGUGGGUCCCCUGUCCCCUCUGGGAAGGCCGCCUCUGCAGAGGACGCAGCGGGGGCGCUGGGCGACCUCGGACAAGGUGCCGCACCUCUCUGGAUUUCACCACCGAACAAGGGCAAGGAGACCGCCUUGCUCGUUUGUUUUGGGGACGGGACGAGGAGGGUCCCACACCUGCAGGACACUCAGGGCACUCAGCCCCACUCGCCCCUGCCUGCCCGCGCCUCUCGGCAGCCCGGGAGCGUCCAGGGAGGGAGACGGGAGGCACGGGAAGCGUCUCGCAGCCGCACAGACCUUUUUAUUUUUUGCCCACAGCAAAAUCUCAUAAAUAAAUAAAUAAAAGAAAAUCAA